rnacentral:rRNA from 1 species
UAGGGAAUAUUGGACAAUGGGGGCAACCCUGAUCCAGCCAUGCCGCGUGAGUGAAGAAGGCCCUCGGGUUGUAAAGCUCUUUUGUCCGGAAAGAAAAGCUUCGGGUUAAUACCCCGGGGUUCUGACGGUACCGGAAGAAUAAGCACCGGCUAACUUCGUGCCAGCAGCCGCGGUAAUACGAAGGGUGCAAGCGUUACUCGGAAUUACUGGGCGUAAAGCGUGCGUAGGUGGUUGUUUAAGUCUGAUGUGAAAGCCCUGGGCCCAACCUGGGAAUGGCAUUGGAAACUGGGCAGCUAGAGUGCGGUAGAGGGUAGUGGAAUUCCCGGUGUAGCAGUGAAAUGCGUAGAGAUCGGGAGGAACAUCUGUGGCGAAGGCGACUGCCUGGACCAGCACUGACACUGAGGCACGAAAGCGUGGGGAGCAAACA